rnacentral:rRNA from 1 species
ACGCUAGCUACAGGCUUAACACAUGCAUGUCGAGGGGCAGCAUGGCCUAUCUUUCGGGAUGGGCCGAUGGCGACCGGCGCACGGGUGAGUAACGCGUAUCCAACCUUCCCUUUACUGGGGUCCAGCCCGUCGAAAGGCGGAUUAAUCCCCCAUGUUCUCCGUCCCGGACAUCUGUGUCGGAGCAAAGAUUUAUCGGUAAAGGAUGGGGAUGCGUCCGAUUAGCUUGUUGGCGGGGUAACGGCCCACCAAGGCAUCGAUCGGUAGGGGUUCUGAGAGGAAGGUCCCCCACACUGAAACUGACACACGGUCCAGACCCCUACGGGAGGCAGCAGGGAGGAAUAUUGGUCAAUGGCGGAAGGGCGAAACCGCCAAGUAGCGUGAGGGAAGAUUCCCUUAGGGGUGGAAACCUCUUUAUGGGGGAUAAAGGGUCCACGGGGGAGUUUGCAGGUUCCGCAUGAUAAGGCCCGGCUAUUCCGUGCCAGCAGCCGCGGUAAUACGGAAGGUCCGGGCGUUAUCCGGAUUUAUUGGGUUUAAAGGGAGCGUAGGCCGGUCUUUAAGCGUGCCGUGAAAUUUUGUGGCUCAACCAUGAGAGUGCGGCGCGAACUGGAGACCUUGAGUGCGCGGAAGGCAGGCGGAAUUCGUGGUGUAGCGGUGAAAUGCUUAGAUAUCACGAAGAACCCCGAUUGCGAAGGCAGCCUGCCGCAGCGUUACUGACGCUGAAGCUCGAAAGCGCGGGUAUCGAACAGGAUUAGAUACCCUGGUAGUCCGCGCGGUAAACGAUGGAUGCCCGCUGUCGGCGAUAUACAGUCGGCGGCCAAGCGAAAGCGUUAAGCAUCCCACCUGGGGAGUACGCCGGCAACGGUGAAACUCAAAGGAAUUGACGGGGGCCCGCACAAGCGGAGGAACAUGUGGUUUAAUUCGAUGAUACGCGAGGAACCUUACCCGGGCUUGAAUUGCAGAGGAAAGAUCCAGAGAUGGUGAUGCCCUUCGGGGCCUCUGUGAAGGUGCUGCAUGGUUGUCGUCAGCUCGUGCCGUGAGGUGUCGGCUUAAGUGCCAUAACGAGCGCAACCCCUUUCCCUAGUUGCCAUCGGUUCUAGCCGGGCACUCUGGGGACACUGCCUCCGCAAGGAGUGAGGAAGGUGGGGAUGACGUCAAAUCAGCACGGCCCUUACGUCCGGGGCUACACACGUGUUACAAUGGGUGAUACAGAGGGCCGGCCGCUGGCAACAUCGGUCCAAUCCUUAAAGUCAUCCUCAGUUCGGACUGGGGUCUGCAACCCGACCCCACGAAGCUGGAUUCGCUAGUAAUCGCGCAUCAGCCAUGGCGCGGUGAAU